AGAUUGAACGCUGGCGGCAUGCCUUACACAUGCAAGUCGAACGGCAGCACGGGAGCAAUCCUGGUGGCGAGUGGCGAACGGGUGAGUAAUACAUCGGAACGUGCCCAAUCGUGGGGGAUAACGCAGCGAAAGCUGUGCUAAUACCGCAUAAGAUCUACGGAUGAAAGCAGGGGAUCGCAAGACCUUGCGCGAAUGGAGCGGCCGAUGGCAGAUUAGGUAGUUGGUGAGGUAAAGGCUCACCAAGCCUUCGAUCUGUAGCUGGUCUGAGAGGACGACCAGCCACACUGGGACUGAGACACGGCCCAGACUCCUACGGGA
rnacentral:rRNA from 1 species